UUAUGAUGCACAAAUACAACACACUCCAAGAUAAGUUUAUUCUGAAAGCAUAUAGAGUGCUAAUGUCACAGACAAAGCUACUAAUGAGAAUCAAAGAUAACUAAUGAAAAAGAGAGACAUUGAUUUCUCAAACUAUUCACACACAAGCCUUUUCUCCAUAUUCAUUUUUUCUUUCUGUACAGUUUUUUCCCCCUCUAGUGACUAGCGUGCUCUAUCUGUCUCUCUGC
rnacentral:lncRNA from 1 species